rnacentral:lncRNA from 10 species
UGAAAUAAAAGAUGACCCACAGACAAAAGAUGAUUUCUAUCUCGAAGGUGAUCACUAAAGGUCUUCAGAUUGAGAGGAGCAGAACAUGAGGUACUGAACUCAAGAGGUCUCACGUGCACUUGGACCUGAUUUACAUGACAAGGUUCUGGCCUGAUUCAGUAACAUGAUACAAUCUUAUGUGGGGUAUUGGGAGGUUGAGUAUGUAUUUUUCAUGGGGAAGAAUGUAAAUAAUCCAUGGAAUAAAAAAUAUGACUUUUAAAAUGUGGCCUCAGAAUCCUUUGCACUCCUCUCAUUAAGAAGUAAGGUCUAUGAGUUUCCCUUUGAAUUUGAGUGGGCUUUUGACUUCUUCAUUCAAUACUGCAAGUUUCAAGUGAUGUUAUGUGACUUCUAAAUCUAGAUUAUAAAAGGUCUUGCAGAUUUUGCAUAAUUUUUUUAAAUUACACAAAAAUCAUUUUUGCAUAAUUCUCCUUCCUGGAGCUUUCAUUCUUGUACAUUCCCUCCCAGAAUCUAGCCACCAUGCUGCGAGAAUUCCAAGCCUCACAGAGAGGGCCCGUGUAGGUUCAAAGUACUAGAGUCCCAGUUGAGACUGUCCUUGAGCCACCACACCCCGAAAAGCAGACUGUGGGUAGAGUUAAUAUUGGAAAUGUUUUCUCCAGUCUUAGUUGUCCCAGCCCCCGGCUUCUAGAGGUAUCUCCAGCUGUUUAAGAGAUCUCAACUGAGGUAGCAGAUAUGGUAAAGUUCUAAAAUGCCACUCCUAUUCUGUACACCCUAAUUUCCAAAUUCACAUAAUUUGUAACCAUAAUAAAGCAAUUGCAAUCAUGUACUACUAAAAUAUAGGAUAUUUUAAACACAGCAACUUUAAAAGAAGUAUUGACAUAUUUUGCUACAUUGAAGUCAUGCUCUCUGUAGCCAAGAGACUCUCUUUUCACUUCUUUUUAAUUAAACUCAUACUUCCUCCAACUCAUACUUGUGAAAUAUCAUUAUUUAUGAGUAUUGAGCAAAACAUUAUUCAAAACUACAUAUACAGCAUUUAUUCCUUUAAAUGGUCCAUGUCUUUUUGAAAACCUUCUUAGCUAGACCUUCCCUGUUUUCUAGUUAAAUUCCUGCUAAUCUAACCUAAACUAUCAGCAACAUCUCAAGGAUAACUAUGGAGGAAAUGUUCCACCUCUUGAAAUAAACAAGGAUAAAAGAAAAUUCAUCUUUGGCAUUUUUAACUCACUGUAAAAUUAAGUAUAUGG